ACCCGCUGAAUUUAAGCAUAUAAGUAAGUGGUGGAAAUUAAACCAACUGGGAUCUCUUCAGUAAUUGCGCAUGAACCAGGAUAUGCUUAGCUUGACAAAUGGAGCUGCUGGCUCUGAAUUGUAUUGUGGGAAUGUAUUACCAACAGAGGUGCAGGUGUCAGCCAUUUGAAAGAAAGCAUCAAUGAGGGUGAGAGUCCUGUUUGUCAUGUGCAGCCUUCUGUGCACGGUGUAUAUUUGCUGAGUCACACUCCUUGGCAUUGGAAUGCAAAGUGGGUGGUAAGUUUCAUGCAAAGGUAAAUAUGCAAUUGAGACUGAUAGCGCACAAGUACCAUGAGGGACAUAUGAAAAGGACUUUGAAAAGAGAAUUAAAUGAGUUUGUAUUUGCUAAACACAAAGUAAACAGACUUGAUUUCCUCAGUGAGAUUGUAGUGCUUGCUUAACAAUGGGUUUUGGCUGCAAGUGCAAUAAUUCUUGCUUUGUGUGCCAGUUUUUAUGUGGACAUUUGAUUACCUUUGCACAUGAAUGGUAAUUUUCCUGCGGGGUGUGGAUUGCAUAUGCAUGUAAUGAUUUGCAUGUUUGUUAAAUGUGUCUGGUGUAUUUGUUUGUGUCCUUGUCCUUGAGGUUGCUUUCUCCCUUGGGCUUACAUGCCCUGGCACACACAUUCUGGCAAAAUGCUUCUGCUUGACCCAUCUUGAAACACGGACCAAGG
rnacentral:rRNA from 1 species